rnacentral:rRNA from 1 species
GUUGUUAACCAAUGUUGCCUCAAUAAAUUUAAUUCCUGUCUGAUCUCAGAAGCUAAGCAGGGUCGGGCCUGGUUAGUUCUUGAAUGGGAGACCACCUAGGAAGACCAGAUGUUGUAGGCA